UCCUAGAGUUGGUGGGCUGCCCUUGUAAGUGGGCCUAAGGGUUGGCCCAAUGUAUAUAAGCCCUGCUAUGUUGCCCUAAUCCCAUCUCACACUCACUCUUUCAGAAACCAGCCGCCAUCCCUUACUACCUCUCACGAAAAGCUCUGUUAGGGUUUACCCUAAGGUCCCCCUCCUUCAAGCUCAAACUCAGUCCUACUUCCUGCACGACUUCCUGACCCGUCUCCCGAACUGCUGUGCUCCGGAGUCCAGUGCCGAGGUCUGUAGGAACCCAUUUCCAGAUGGGCGAGAUUCUCGUGGUCAACAAGGGAAUGACGACUCCGCUACUUAGCCAUCUGGGCUGGAUCUCACACUUCUUUCUUUCGUGUUUUCUUUAGGGCUAUGGCCCAUGUAUUCGUGGUUAUUAGAUUGUAAACUUUUAGUUAAAUAGCUAUCCUACUUUUGUUGGCAUCGUG